GAACGAUAGAAGGAAAUCGGUCAAGAAAAUAAGAUACCAAGGGGAAUAUAUGUAUGCUCCAUUUAUAACUUCUGCGUAGCAUACUGAAGUUUUCUAUCUAAUUGUUAAAGCCUUCAGACCCUCUUUUGAAAAACUAUUUAUUAGAAUAAACUACUUUCUAUACGUUCAGGUGCUUUUCAAGUGAACGAUCAACAAUAAUCCCACGAC
rnacentral:lncRNA from 1 species